UGGGGAAUUUUGGACGAAUUGGGCGAAAGCCUGAUCCAGCAAUGCCGCGUGUGUGAAGAAGGCCUUCGGGUUGUAAAGCACUUUUGUCCGGAAAGAAAUCCUUGGCUCUAAUACAGUCGGGGGAGUGACGGUACCGGAAGAAUAAGCACCGGCUAACUACGUGCCAGCAGCCGCGGUAAUACGUAGGGUGCAAGCGUUAAUCGGAAUUACUGGGCGUAAAGCGUGCGCAGGCGGUUUGCUAAGACCGAUGUGAAAUCCCCGGGCUCAACCUGGGAACUGCAUUGGUGACUGGCAGGCUAGAGUAUGGCAGAGGGGGGUGAGAAUUCCACGUGUAGCAGUGAAAUGCGUAGAGAUGUGGAGGAAUACCGAUGGCGAAGGCAGCCCCCUGGCAAGUACUGACGCUCAUGCACGAAAGCGU
rnacentral:rRNA from 1 species